CUCUUCUGGUUCCCACAACUAGGCCACCCUGUCUCUAGUGAAUUUUUUUGUCCACUAUUCUUCUGUAUGUAGCAAUGAACUUGUUAUGGACUGGUAUUCGAGGCCCAGGACUCCUCCAGAAAGAGAAGAUAAGAGAGAAUGAGAUUUUAUUUCUGCAUGAAUUUGCAUUACAUGAGUUCGUUAUUUAUAGGCAAUGAAAUGCUAUUUCUUCUGCAGAUGCUAGCACUAACGGAUUGUGGGAUUAUCCUAACAGAAAGAUGCCUCUAUAGCAGACAGGAUAUUCCCUAGCUCAGCAACCCUUGUCAGAGUUAGUUAUGAAAUCCUUCAGAAAAAGAUGCCUCUGGAGCUCAUUUUAGGAAUAGGAGGGAAUCAUCUGCAUCAAUUCCUUGUCCAAUUAUGUUGCAAUGAGCCAAUGACAUUGAUCCCUAUCUUGUUAGGCAUUAGAGCAUGUUGCCAAGUUCCUUAGACAUUAGUAUUCGUUUCCUUCCUGUGAGUUUGUUGUGUUAAGAAUAACAGUAGGGAUAUGGCUUU